UACGUAGGGUGCGAGCGUUAAUCGGAAUUGCUGGGCGUAAAGCGUGCGCAGGCGGCUUGCCAAGUCAGAUGUGAAAGCCCCGGGCUCAACCCGGGAAUGGCGUUUGAAACUGGCAGGCUAGAGUUUGGCAGAGGGGGGUGGAAUUCCACGUGUAGCAGUGAAAUGCGUAGAGAUGUGGAGGAACACCGAUGGCGAAGGCAGCCCCCUGGGCCAAAACUGACGCUCAGGCACGAAAGCGUGGGGAGCAAACAGG
rnacentral:rRNA from 1 species